rnacentral:misc_RNA from 1 species
UUUCCGUAGGUGAACCUGCGGAAGGAUCAUUACAGUGUUCUCUGCCCUCACGGGUAGAAACGCCCACCCUUGUAUAUUAUAUCUUUGUUGCUUUGGCAGGCCGCCCUCGGGCACCGGCUCCGGCUGGAUCGCGCCUGCCAGAGGAAACCCAAACCCUGAAUGUUAGUGUCGUCUGAGUACUAUCUAAUAGUUAAAACUUUCAACAACGGAUCUCUUGGUUCUG